rnacentral:rRNA from 1 species
ACUAUAGCAUUUCUUCCCACCUAACAAGACUUUACAACCCAAGGGCCUUCAUCGUCUACGCGGUAUUGCUGCGUCAGGGUUUCCCCCAUUGCGCAAUAUUCCCCACUGCUGCCUCCCGUAGGAGUCUGGGCCGUAUCUCAAUCCCAGUGUGGCCGUCCACCCUCUCAGGCCGGCUAACCAUCCUAACCUUGGUAGGCCGUUACCCCACCAACUAGCUAAUGGUACGCGAGUGCAUCCUAGAGCGAAAGCUUUCAUGAAUAGGCCUUCUUUGAUUAAAGUUCCAUGCGAAACCUUAAUAUCGUAAAGUAUUAGCACUCCUUUCGAAAUGUUAUCCUCUACUCCAGGGCAGCUUGCUCACGCGUUACUCACCCGUUCGCCACUUUACUCAGAGCCCGAAGGCUCCUUUCUCGUUCGACUUGCAUGUGUUAAGCAUACCGCCAGCGUUCGUUCUGAGCCAUGAUCAAACUCUAAUCGAAUUCCCGCGGCCGCCAUGGCGGCCGGGAGCAUGCGACGUCGGGCCCAAUUCGCCCUAUAGUGAGUCGUAUUACAAUUCACUGUSCCSSSKYSGUUUUACACACG